rnacentral:rRNA from 1 species
GGCCAGCAGCCGCGGUAAUACGGAGGGUGCAAGCGUUAUCCGGAUUCACUGGGUUUAAAGGGUGCGUAGGAGGGCAGGUAAGUCAGUGGUGAAAUCCUGGGGCUUAACCCCAGAACUGCCGUUGAUACUAUCUGUCUUGAAUACCGUGGAGGUGAGCGGAAUAUGUCAUGUAGCGGUGAAAUGCUUAGAUAUGACAUAGAACACCAAUUGCGAAGGCAGCUCACUACACGAGCAUUGACUCUGAGGCACGAAAGCGUGGGGAUCAAACAGGAUUAGAUACCCUGGUAGUCCACGCCCUAAACUAUGGAUACUCGACAUACGCGAUACACUGUGUGUGUCUGAGCGAAAGCAUUAAGUAUCCCACCUGGGAAGUACGACCGCAAGGUUGAAACUUAAAGGAAUUGGCGGGGG